UGGUUCUGGCAUCGAUGAAGAACGCAGCGAAAUGCGAUAAGUAAUGUGAAUUGCAGAAUUCAGUGAAUCAUCGAAUCUUUGAACGCACAUUGCGCCCCUUGGUAUUCCGGGGGGCAUGCCUGUUCGAGCGUCAUUAUAACCCUCAAGCUCUGGCUUGGUGUUGGGGCACACCGUCCGCGGUCGCCCUCAAAAUCAGUGGCGGCGCCGCCUGGCCCUAAGCGUAGUAACAAUCCUCGCUACAGGGUCCCGGCGCGUGCUUGCCAUGAGCACACAACUUUUUCUAUGGUUGACCUCGGAUCAGGUAGGGAUACCCGCUGA
rnacentral:misc_RNA from 1 species